UACGUAGGGGGCAAGCGUUGUCCGGAAUUAUUGGGCGUAAAGCGCGUGCAGGCGGUUAUUUAAGUCUGGUGUUUAAGCCCGGGGCUCAACCCCGGUUCGCAUCGGAAACUGCCUGGCUUGAGUCCGGAAGGGGCGAGUGGAAUUCCUGGUGUAGCGGUGAAAUGCGCAGAUAUCGGGAGGAACACCUAUGGCGAAGGCAGCUCGCUGGGACGUUACUGACGCUGAGACGCGAAAGCGUGGGGAGCAAACAGG
rnacentral:rRNA from 1 species